GGAAUCUUCGGCAAUGGACGAAAGUCUGACCGAGCAACGCCGCGUGAGUGAAGAAGGUUUUCGGAUCGUAAAACUCUGUUGUUAGAGAAGAACAAGGGUGAGAGUAACUGUUCACCCCUUGACGGUAUCUAACCAGAAAGCCACGGCUAACUGCGUGCCAG
rnacentral:rRNA from 1 species